GACAGGCCUCGUCCUACCUGUCUUCACCUGUAUAAUGACAUCAUCCUAUAGCUGAUCAAUUAAACAUUACAGGUAGUGAGUGAUUUCUCAGGAAGAGUGGGAAAUACUCGGGGGCAGAAUUGAGCCUGCGGUAUCAGUGUGAAGAAGGUAGAAGGCUCUCACAGUUUUCUAGUCAAACUCGUCAGCUUUGUUAUACCGAGUGAGCACACACCACGAAAGUGCAAAUAAUAUGCAUUUCCCAUCUCUGUCCACCAAGACGCCCCUGAAACAUCCCAGUAACAUCCCUGUCCGGAUGCCAAUUUCUAAAUAUUAUCCUCCCGUAAAGAGAACUCAUUAGAAUUUAUAUAUGGCUGCCUCCCCCAGUUGGGAGGCAGAGGCAGGUGGAUCUCUGUGAGUUUGAGGGCAGCCUGGUGGUCUACAGAGUUCCAGGACAGCCAGGGAUACCCAGAGAAACCCUGUCUGGAAAAACAAAACAAAGCAAAAAACUGGAUUCCUGGAUUGGGCAGAGAAAUUUUCAAAAUACACUGGAAUAUCUUACUCCUUUUUUUGCACAGAGGAGUGGGUAUAUUUGUAUUUCCUUGAGUCCCACUGGUUCCUAGAGAUCAGGUGCUCCAGCUGUGUAGGGCUCCACCGUGAGGAAUCUGAUGUGAAGGACAAAUUAGGAAGUGUUUGAGGGAUGAUGGGAGGAGGAGGGGCAUGCCCAAGGACGGAGGAGUGAUCUCUGCUUCUUCUGGCCAACAUGGGCAAGUUAAGAAACUAAUGCUGGGAAUGGAUUGUAAACUCUGGAAAGGAAAAGCUAUGAACUUAUAAUAAUGCAAACAAAUGAAUUAGUAAAUAGGCAGAGAGAAGCGACUCCUGCCUGUACCCUCACACCGUUCCAGGGAUUGACCUAUCCGCACAGUGAGUAAAUGAGAAAUAGGAAGUUAUGGACACUCAAAAGCUGGGAUCCGGUACACUGGGCUCCCCCAUAGGGAAGCCACAGUACCCCAGAAGGACAGCGUGUUUGUUUUCAAUUAAACAUGGAAGUGGGGUUAUUAAAUGCAACAUGCGCAUGCAAACACACACAGAGAGAGAGAGAGAGAGAGAGAGAGAGAGAGAGAGAGAGAGAGAGAGAGAGAGAGAGAGAGAGGUUUAGCUAAUCUCAGUAGGCACAGUAUACAGGGGAGUCUUCAGGCAAUAAAUAAUCAGGAUGAGAAAGCUACGGUGAACAUUUUCUGCACAUGUUAUCAACAUCCACACUUGGAUCAUUUGCCCUCUGGGCUGAGGCGUGGGAUUCCUUAACACAGUCAUGCCAUGACAACAACAUAGAUCCAUUCAAGACAUCAUUCAUUCAGGGCUCCCCACUCCCCACUCUGUGCAGUAGAACUGCAGUGUAAACGAAAACAGGCCAAUACAAAAGGAAGUACUUGUUCCUGUAGAGGGAGGUGGUGUCGAUUCCCUAAUUGGUUCUCGAUUGUGUCAAUAAAGGAGGCAGAAGCCAAUUGCUGGGCGAAGGGGGAAGGGUGGGACUUCAGGAUGGAAGGGAAGGGACACAGGGAAAGAGGAUUUCGGACCAGGCUUUGGAUCCCGGAGGAAGCUGCAGUCAUGUAGGUCAUAGGGCCCCUAGAGUUUGUAGCCUCCUUGUUGAGCAGGGGCCGAGGAGGACGGAGGGAGGCAUCUAGUUGAUAAGAUUAGGGCGGGAAAUUCUUCGCCCAGCCAUUGAGCUAUCUGGCUAGUUUUAAAAUAAUAAAAGUAGUCUCCCAUCCGUGGGACUGAGGUGGGCAGGAGGAGAAAGAGUGUUGGCAGCUUGGCGAAGCUAUCUCUGAGGGGUUGCAGGGAGUAGUUGCAAUUCCAGGGAGGAAAAAUGGCCUCUGGCUGUUGGCGGAGCUGAGUGAAAAUCUCUGAGCCUAUCCUGGAGCGCAGGCAGAGCUCCCAAGAAGGGGGAAGUGUGGGGGAAGUGUGCGAGUGUGUGUGUGUGUGUGUGUGUGUGUGUGUGUGUGUGUGUGUGUGUGUGUGUGUGUGUUUAAAUUACAUGCAACAAAUUCAAGUAUUGUACAAUCAAAGUACUUCCCUAGUGGAGUUUAUGAACUUUAAAUUGUUAGCAUGAUUCUGUUCUAAGAGUGUAAUGAGUUUUCCCAUCUUUUUUGUUAAAAUCCAGUAUUGUCGUUUUCUAUUGCUGUUCUUAUAAAUCACCAGAAGUGGGACUUAAUACCUACAAAUGUAUCAUUACACAGGACUACAGAUUCCAACUGUCAUUAAACUAAAACCAAGGUGUUUGUGUUUCUUUCUGAGGUUCUCGGGACUGGUUUAUUUUCCUGCCUUUCUGUAUUAAAGGCAGCUUGCAUCUCUUGGUUUGUAUACUCUCCUCCAUGUUCAAACACUGAUGGACAGUUAAAUUAUUCUCAUACCACAUUUCUCUAAUACUGUUUCUUCUUUCUCGCUUUCACUCCUGAGGACCCUCAUCGAUUCAGACAGCCACCUUACAGCCCUCCUGAGAGAACCCUGCUGCAGAGAACCCUGGAGCACAGUGACGGACCAGAAAGCCAGCCGUGCAACGUGCGCUGCCUUCUCGCAGAUGGAUGCAAACUGAGGGCUGUCCCGGCAUGAGCCAGGAACUUUCAGAGGAAUACUCUGAUCUUUCCUAGGGAAAUGUGUAACGACAGAAGACUGUGGCCUUGUAUCCCAGGACCAACCAAUGCAGGAGGAUUGGUCAGUUUUCCCGCUCUUCCUGGUACCAAUCACAGUGGCUUAGGGACAACCAUCUUAAUGACAACCUUUUCAUUUAAUUGCCAUCGAAGUCCUGCCUCCAGGCCCAGUCACCCUCAGGAACCAAUGGACUGCUUAACAAACCAUGAAACAACUAACCAACGACCUAGCCCACCUCGUGGGCUCUAGCAUUUACGUACCCUCUGAGAAGUCCUCGGAAUUCCAAAUGUCACACAUUUGCAGAAACGAUCUGCAGCCAGAGAAAUCACCAUGCCCGAGGAACCAAAAUUCCAAAAUUGUCAUUACACUGUACCAGAAGAACUUGAGGCAAUUUAGACUUUACCAAAAAAACCUAGCAUCCCAUGACUCAGAAAACAAUUUAGUGUGUGGCUGGACAGUGAAUGCUCCUGACAUCUUAGCAAUUGGUCCCAAGACCCCAAGGGUGCCAAAAUAGUCUGAUGAUGCUCCAACUCCCCAAGAAAACUGGUACAACACUUGCUCACAGCCUCACUCAGCACCCGUGCACAGUAGGUCAUCUCUAAGGGACCCAUAACUCUAGACACAAUGCCAAUGCUUUGUAAGUAGUUGUGCUGGACUGUUUAGGGAUGAGGAGAAGAGAAUAUCUACAUAUGCUCAGUAUAGAUGCACAUUUUAAAAAUACUUUGAUCUACAGUUCUUUGACUAAGGAUGAAGAACUCAAAGAGAAGAGGUCACGCUCUCUUUCUUGGUUCUUACUAACAUUCUGCACACAUACAUUUAUCAAAAUGGCUUUGAGGCUGAAUGCCUCCACUUUUGCAUACCUCUUGCAUUGUAGACCUUCCGUUGUUACGGUGAUGGCUAAUCUUGGUUAUCAACUUGACUACAUCUAGAAUCAACUAAAACCCAAGCAACUCCACACACCUGUGAGGGAUUUUUUUUUUUUUCAAUUGGAUCAUUUGAGGUGGAAAAUCUGGUUCAAAUCUGGUAGCAGCCCACAAAAAAGGACAUGGAAGGAGGAAACUUUUGAUUUUUGCCUGCUUGCCUUCACUCUUACUAGCAAGUACAUCUGCCUUGUUGCUUCUUCGGGAUUCCAAUACAGACUGAAGACUAGCAGCUCUCUAGGACUCCAGCACCAAAGUGGGACUUUGGAGACAUCCAAUCUCUUGGACUUUCUGUUUAGAAGUGCCCACCAUCAGACCCCAACCUGUAACCACUCUAAUAAAUUUGAUAAAUUUUGUCCCCCAAGA
rnacentral:sRNA from 1 species